UCGGGUAUGGUGUAAAGGCUAACAUUGCCGCCUCUCAUUGGUCUGUGCGACUGAUGUUAACGCGGCAGCUCGGGGUUCGAUUCCCCGUACCCGAA